rnacentral:rRNA from 1 species
UACGUAGGGUGCAAGCGUUGUCCGGAAUUAUUGGGCGUAAAGAGCUCGUAGGCGGUUUGUUGCGUCGGCUGUGAAAUCCCGAGGCUCAACCUCGGGUCUGCAGUCGAUACGAGCAAACUAGAGUGUUGCAGGGGGAGACUGGAAUUCCUGGUGUAGCGGUGAAAUGCGCAGAUAUCAGGAGGAACACCGGUGGCGAAGGCGGGUCUCUGGACAGUUCCUGACGGCUGAGGCACGAAGGUCAGGGGAGCAAACGGG